rnacentral:lncRNA from 13 species
CAAGAAUCCAUGGGUGUGUGUAAAUAAUUAAAAGUCAAAACAAUUGAUGAAGCAAUCGCAGAUUGACCCUUUCCAAUAAAAUAAGGUUUCAUUACUCCAUUGUUUAUAACAUAAACCAUGUAGAGCUUCAAAAUGUGUUCAAAAGCUGUCAACGAAAUUGUCCAUUUCCCAUCUGAGUAGGCCUUUUCGCGAGGCUAGGUCACAUGUAGGGUUAAGGAACGGUUUCACGGACACAGAAUAGUUCUGCAGCUUAAUCUCUGUCCGGGGAACAAAGUGAUUAGAAUGGGAUUAUGCUUUACAUGAAAAAAAAAACACAAUUACAUUACCAAGUACAUGAAUGGGCUAACCCUACUCUACCAGUCUAUAUUAGGCUGUCUGAGAGAAGGUUUGAAUCCUAAACAACCCAUCCAAUGAAUUGCAGCUCUGCUCAGGUUCUUACAACAGGGAUGUAUUUCCGGAAACAGAGUUUGCGCCAUCCUACGUUACAGAUCGCCCCAUUCAGAACCCAACCCUACCAGGCCCCAUUCAGAACCCAACCCUACCAGGCCCCAUUCAGAACCCAACCCUACCAGGCCCAAGCACCAACCCGCCAGGCCCCAGCAACAUUCCAAACCUGACAGGCUCCAGCACCAACCUACCAGCUCCAGCACCGACCUGCCAGGCCCCAGCACCAACCUGCCAGGCCCCAGCAACAUUCCACCAACCUGCCAGGCCCCAGCACCAACCUACCAGGCCCCAGCACCAACCCUGUCAGGACCCAGCACCAACCCUGCCAAACCCCAGCACCAACCCUGCCUGGCCAGGCCCCAGCACCAACCCUGCCUGGCUAGGCCCCAGCACCAUUCCAGCCCUGCCUAGCAUGAGCUCAGACACGGACCUGCCCAGUUCUUAUGCCAGCACCAGCUCACCCUUGCCCAGUAAUGCCAUUGCUAGCUGUGGACUACCAACUCCAGAGGACAUCUAGCCAUAUCCAAAAGCUGGCCCCCGAAAAUCAGCUUACAAUGGAAGACAACCACGCAAAACAGCACUUCUAACUGACACACUAGUGAAGCAGGCCCUAGAAAUGAUAUAGAAUAAAGGCAACGUCUAGCAAAAGGCUGUUUCCGAAGAAACGGAAGCACUGGGGGAAUCCAAAUCUGGAUCUGCAAAGAACAAGGCAGCUAAAAAAAUAAAAUCAAAAAUCGUAGAAGAGUCAUCAUCAGCUGAAGAGGAGUGAGUCUGCCUCGUCUGUGUGGAGCCAUUUUUUAAACAGCCUUCCAAAGGAGACUUGGGCGAAGUGUGUGAGAUGCAACAAAUGGGCCCGUGAUGCUUGCACCUCCAGCCAGGCAAUUUGCGUGCCAGAACUGUGACUCUGAAGAUGAGUCCGAUUAGUCAGAUACGGAUGCAGAUUGUAUUGGCUGUUACAAAACUGUGCAUUAGUGUAUUUAAACACCACAUCUAUUUUGUUAAGACGUUAAACGUUUAAGCAAGUUAUCUGCAGCAUUCCAUUCCAUUCUAUUCCGACUCCACCGUGGAUCUAUGUGCACGCCAGAGAACGUUCGAUUUCAAAGUUCAAAGUAAAGUGGUCGUGACACUUAAACGUGUGCUCUGCCAACAUUAUCGUUUUGAUUGAAAGGCACGAUUUGCCAGAUUCUCUAGGCAUGAUUGUGUUUAUUUUGAGUUUUCUUUAAUGAAGUUGAAUUUUGGUUUUGAAUUUGAAAUUAAAAACAACAUUCACAAUUAAUUUAGUUGUGUUCUGAUUUGUUGAUAAUCCAAUGUGACAGCUUACCAGACGUAGUGUGACAAUGUACCUGCUGAUGGGGCAAAUGGUCACAAGUGCACACUCUCUAUUUAACGAUUUAACUCCCUACUGAAAUAAGAUAUGAAGAUGUAAUGAAUACAACAUAUGUGCCCAAGACAUCCUUCUUUCAUUUUGUAUGACAUUUAUACCAUUGUGAUGUACUUUGCCCAGUAAAUGUUAGAAAGUGUGACAACAUACCUCGCUCUCCCCUAUAUAAGGUAUAUGAAAUGUAAACUAAUUAAAUACACACUUGUAUGUAGUAAGUUAUAAACAUUGUGAAAACUUACAAGCAACCCUUUUCCAAGGCACAAAACAGGAGAAAAAUUACUUAAAAGAUGUCUUGACCUUCUUCAAGGUUUAUUGGCCAAACUACAACCGAUUGGGUGUAUUUCUGCCACCCACUGUGAGGGGGUAGAAAACGAUAAAAAGAAGAAACAAAAAUACAUUUUAAAAACCAUCUCACUCCUUCAGUCACUGUCCAAAUCAAAUCACAUCCCUACUGGCUCAGGGGCAUGUAAGGGCGGAUCAUUCUUCGACAGGAUGGCUUGACAUUUCUCGGCUGUAAUGUAAAUAAAAUAAAUAAAAUAAAUGUUCAGCAUACGCUCACAAUGAAGCAACAAUUUUCCCAGAUGUAUUUCCCGUUUGCACUGUGCAGUUUAUGACCAUUGCAUAAACGAUAUAAAGUCCACCAUUUUUAACAUGCCAUAUACAUCAGGAUCCCUCAUUCGAGAAACGUUCACUGAUGCAAGCUCUAUUAUAAACUCUAGCCAGUCCUUUGUCUCUUCUCACUGCCUCCAGAUAGGCUACACGCU